UUUUAAAAAACCCGGUAAAUU
rnacentral:piRNA from 1 species